CUGCUCACACACACACACACAAAUGAUAUCAGUUGAGUGUGUAAACACAUAUUAAUUCCUUGAAGCCGGUGUUGACUGAUGAUUAUCCAGAGUUUAUUGUACGUUUUAUUGUUGUACCUCCUGUAGUUUUAUUGAAUGCUGUCCAUUUUAGUUGGUGUCGGAUGAAAAUGAAGGAGUCUGGUCGGACUGACUCAGCCGUGGACUUUCAUCCACUGUAAUUUUAUUAAGACUUAAAUCUGAUCUUGUCUCCAGAUAAUUUGGUCAUCUGCUGAGUAGAAAGAUGGAACAUUCUUAGAACUGUGUUGUUACGUUGUGGACCAGCCCUGAAUGAGAGGAGAGGAGCUGGGACAUUUUGCUGCAUGCUGUGUCUCUCAGGGUCUCUCUCAGGACCAUGGACAGUGCCCAUAGAUCAUGACCCUCACUUACUUGGUCAGUCAGUCAGUUGGUGGCAGGUUAUUUUAAAUGAGGUUUGGUUAACUGGGUAUUUUAUUACUCUGGUCUUACAGUCAGUUAGCAAAGAUUCUCUGGUUUAAAUCUUCGUCACAUUUCGAGCCAUAAAACAGCAAAUUUGUGGAUGAUUCCAAUUCUAAAUAAGUGUGCACAAAAACAAGUCAUCAACCUGUGCUUCACCUGCAGGGGGGGCACAUUCAGGAGUGUCUCACACACACACACACACACAAACACACACUCACGUGCUUAGGAUUGAAGGAUUAACCGGCUGCAGUUGCCUACGUGCCUGACGGGGCUGUGCAGGUGUGGUGUUUACGAUGUUUACAUCUACAGUAGGACCGGUAAAUAGGUUAGCACCUUGGAUGUUCUCUUCCUUUCUCUCCGAGCAAAUCCAGUGCAGUCCAGACUGGUUCUAAAACCAGGUCAUCUUGGACCAUCCACAGGAGGUUGGGUUUACAGUCGGCCACCGUGGCUUUACACCUCCCACAGUUAGAGUCGGACUCUUCAGAUUCAGAUUUGAAUUCAAAUGUAAACAUUAUGACAUAUAAAUAUAAACAAAGAUUUUUACUCUGCAAGUUUCAUUGACACGUUUUUUCAUGUGUUAAACCUAAUCUUCAAUUUGAAGAAGUCAAAUUCAUCACAUGCUUUUAAAGACGGAGCAGGGUUUUCGAUCUGAACCAGCAACCGUGCUGGCGGAUGAGGAGUUACUAUUAGCUCAAUAAAUGUUAGCUCAAAUAUAUGUUAACUCUGCCAACAUAAACAUUUAAGAAUGCACACACCCGUGGCCCUCUGUCUGACAUUGGCUGAUCCAAUUUAGGGAUCACAGAAUUAGCUUGUUUGUCCGGCCUGCAAGGCACCAUGGGAGGUCAGGAGCUUAGCUCCGCUGGUGAGCAGCGCUGCUAUAAAACCAGUGUCGGGAUAAACAACUCCAGAGGCUCACCAACACUUGGGUCGUAGCUCAGAGACACAGUGGGAUUACAGUUGUCUCCAAGUACGGACGUGUUGGAUUCCGAGGCUAAGAUGGUGCUGGAGGAUUCUGACGUGGAAAUGAUUGUGGCUGAGAUUGAAGUCAGCGUGAGUAAAAACCUGGACUUGUACCUGGAUCUGGUUGAUAGUGUUUCUGUUGUGGAGUUGCUGCAGUAGAUGAUUGUAUUGACAUUACUGAAGUACAGAAUGUCAAAGUGGAUAGUAGUAGUACACAGUACCAUUAUACAGCAGGGAUUGAAAACUUUUUCCCCAUGUUUGAAAAAAUCCUUUAUUUAGUUAGUUAGUAUUUCAGUGUUAGUCUUCUAAUGCUCUUAAGUUUUGUUUUUAACACCAGGGGUGAUAAAACACCAGUUAGUAACAAUUUUAUUGCCAAGCUUUUGGACUGACUUAUUCAUUUUGAAUGUAGCAGCUUUUUGUUGUUUUUCAGAUAAAAAAAAAGAAAUGAAGUAAAA